GACGAACGCUGGCGGCGUGCUUAACACAUGCAAGUCGAACGGUGAAAGGGAGCUUGCUCCCUGGAUCAGUGGCGAACGGGUGAGUAACACGUGGGCAACCUGCCCCAGACUUCGGGAUAACGCUUCGAAAGAGGUGCUAAUACCGGAUACGAACUCCUUGGGCAUCCUUGGAGUUGGAAAGUUUUUCGGUCUGGGAUGGGCCCGCGGCCUAUCAGCUUGUUGGUGAGGUAACGGCUCACCAAGGCGACGACGGGUAGCCGGCCUGAGAGGGCGACCGGCCACAAUGGGACUGAGACACGGCCCAGACUCCUACGGGAGGCAGCAGUGGGGAAUAUUGCGCAACGGGCGAAAGCCUGACGCAGCAACGCCGCGUGAGGGAUGACGGCCUUCGGGUUGUAAACCUCUUUCAGCAGGGAAGAAGCGAAAGUGACGGUACCUGCAGAAGAAGCACCGGCUAACUACGUGCCAGCCGCCGCCAGUAA
rnacentral:rRNA from 1 species